CCGGAGAAAUCGGGACUAAUACCGCGUGGUACACCGGUGGGGCAUCCCACGGGUGUUAAAAGGAAGUGAUUCCGGCGGAGGAUGGGCAUGCGGCGCAUUAGCUAGUUGGCGGGGUAACGGCCCACCAAGGCGACGAUGCGUAGGGGUUCUGAGAGGAAGGUCCCCCACACUGGUACUGAGACACGGACCAGACUCCUACGGGAGGCAGCAGUGAGGAAUAUUGGUCAAUGGGCGGGAGCCUGAACCAGCCAAGUCGCGUGAGGGAAGACGGUCCUAUGGAUUGUAAACCUCUUUAGGCGGGGAGCAAUGCCGGGCACGCGUGCCCGGAGGGAGAGUACCCGCAGAAUAAGCAUCGGCUAACUCCGUGCCAGCAGCCGCGGUAAUACGGAGGAUGCGAGCGUUAUCCGGAUUUAUUGGGUUUAAAGGGUGCGUAGGCGGAUUUUUAAGUCAGCGGUAAAAUGUCCGGGCUCAACCCGGGCCGGCCGUUGAAACUGGGGAUCUUGAGUGGGCGAGAAGUAUGCGGAAUGCGUGGUGUAGCGGUGAAAUGCAUAGAUAUCACGCA
rnacentral:rRNA from 1 species